AUUGAACGCUGGCGGCAGGCCUAACACAUGCAAGUCGAACGAGUGGCGGACGGGUGAGUAAUUUCUGGGAAACUGCCUGAUGGAUGGGGAUACCUCCUGGAACCGGUAGCUAAUCCCGCAUACCAUCGGAUGUGCCCAGAUGGGAUUAGCUAGUAGGUGGGGUAAAGGCUCACCGAGGCGACGAUCCCUAGCUGGUCUGAGAGGAGGACCAGCCACACUGGAACUGAGACACGGUCCAGACUCCUACGGGAGGCAGCAGUGGGGAAUAUUGCACAAUGGGCGCAAGCCUGAUGCAGCCAGGCCGCGUGUAUGAAGAAGGACUUCGGGUUGUAAAGUACUUUCAGCGGGGAGGCGGUACCCGAAGAAGAAGCAACGGCUAACUCCGUGCCAGCAGCCGCGGUAAUAC
rnacentral:rRNA from 1 species